GAUGUUUAUAGUUUUGGAGUUGUUUUGUUGGAGAUCCUGACUUCUAAGAAGGCCAUUGAUUUUAACAGAGAAGAAGAAGAUGUUAACUUGGUGGUUUAUAUGAAGAAGAUAAUGGACGAAGACAGAUUGAUAGAUGUUGUUGAUCCAUUUAUCAAGGACAAUCGAAGCAAGUUGGAGUUGGAGAUGAUGAAAGCAUUGGGUUCUCUGGCAGCGGCUUGUCUGGAUGACAAGAGGCAGAAUCGACCUUCAAUGAAAGAAG
rnacentral:misc_RNA from 1 species